rnacentral:misc_RNA from 1 species
GAUGAAGAACGUAGCGAAAUGCGAUAAGUAAUGUGAAUUGCAGAAUCCAGUGAAUCAUCGAAUCUUUGAACGCACAUUGCGCCCGCCAGCAUUCUGGCGGGCAUGCCUGUUCGAGCGUCAUUUCAACGCUCGACCUCCCUUUGGGGAAGUCGGCGUUGGGGACCGGCAGCACACCGCCGGCCCUGAAAUGGAGUGGCGGCCCGUCCGCGGCGACCUCUGCGUAGUAAUCCAACUCGCACCGGAACCCCGACGCGGCCACGCCGUAAAACACCCAACUUCUGAACGUUGACCUCGAAUCAGGUAGGACUACCCGCUGAACUUAAGCAUAUCAAUAAGCGGAGGA